AAAAAAUUAGUUAAAAUAACAUAACAUUAAUUUGUCAAAUUAAAAUUAUUAAAUAUAAAUAUUUUUUA
rnacentral:tRNA from 1 species